UACGAAGGGGGCUAGCGUUGCUCGGAAUUACUGGGCGUAAAGGGCGCGUAGGCGGACAUUUAAGUUAGAGGUGAAAGCCCAGGGCUCAACCCUGGAAUAGCCUUUAAUACUGGAUGUCUUGAGUUCGGGAGAGGUGAGUGGAAUGCCGAGUGUAGAGGUGAAAUUCGUAGAUAUUCGGCGGAACACCAGUGGCGAAGGCGACUCACUGGCCCGAUACUGACGCUGAGGCGCGAAAGCGUGGGAAGCAAACAGG
rnacentral:rRNA from 1 species